ACAGUCCUUUUCUGGGAAGUCAGCCACACAGGCAUCAAAGCGCAAGUAGCCAUAGUGCCGCAGCGUCUGGGCCAGUCUCAGGAACUCCUUCUUGGAGACUUUCUCUUGCAGAGAUUUGAGUUGCCGGUGCUGUUCCUUGGUGACCAAGAUCCACCCACGCUCAAUAUCUGAUACCGUCUGAGCAUAAAGCAGGUUCAGGCCAACCCGGU
rnacentral:misc_RNA from 1 species